UACGUAGGGGGCGAGCGUUGUCCGGAAUUACUGGGCGUAAAGGGCGUGUAGGCUGCUUAAUAAGUUAGAGGUGAAAUUCCGUGGCUUAACCACGGGACUGCCUCUAAAACUGUUAGGCUUGAGUGCAGGAGAGGGAAGCGGAAUUCCUGGUGUAGCGGUGAAAUGCGUAGAUAUCAGGAGGAACACUAGUGGCGAAGGCGGCUUCCUGGCCUGUAACUGACGCUGAGGCGCGAAAGCGUGGGUAGCGAACAGG
rnacentral:rRNA from 1 species